rnacentral:lncRNA from 1 species
UUCUAGGGAGGUACAUAGCACACCAUUGUAAAUCAUCAUUUUUAUUAUAAAUUCUAUUAUAGAAUACAUAUAAAAUGUGAUAUUAUUUUUAGUAUUUAGUGAUCUGUAUUGCAGGAAUUAGUGAAAACAAACUGCCCAGAAUCUUCAGAUUUGUUUUAGAAAAUGCUCAGAAUCUCCAGAUCUGUUCACGUUUUCGAUUCAGAUGGUGGUGACGAUGGUGGAGAUGGUGGAGUUGAAGGUGGAGAUGGUGGAGGUGAAGGUGGAGAUGGAGGAAGGAUGAUUGUAGUGGAGGUCUGGGCGGCUUGAAGUAGGGGACUGGAGCAUUGCCCGAAUAGUAGCGGCACCGCCGCGUUUUGAAGUUGAGCCCAGGUGGAGAAAGAAGUAUGAACGAGGCUCAAGGAGGUUGAAGCAGCGACCAAGAUGGGGCUGGUGAAAAUGGAGGUGGAGAUUGUGUUGUUAGAGAAAUAAUGGAGGUGGAGAUGGAGAUGGUGGUUAUGGAGGGGGUGAGCGACAUAGAGGUAUGGUGGUGGUUAUGGAGGAGGCGACGACAGAGGUGGUGGUAGUGGCGGAUGCGGAGGUGGGUUUGGUGAAGAUGGAGGUGGAGAUGGAGUUCUUUAAAAAUUUAGUGGUAUUCGUUUUAAGAUUUAGUGAUAUUCUAACUUAGUUUUUAGUUUUUAGAAUAAGGAGGUUUUUAUUAGAAUAGAAUUCUAUAUAUAUAUAUAUAUGUGUGUGUGGGGGGGGGAUCAAUGGGUAACCUCUUAAUGUGUAUAACUUGACAUGAAGAGUUUUGUUACAUACAACUACUUAUCCCUUGUAACUGUUUUAACCAAAUACAUGUUAAAACACGUGGCCCACCUUAAAUGAUGAACACAAAAACUUACCUAACAAAUGCAUUAAUUCUGUAAUUUAUUGGAUACAUAACUGUGGAAAGAAAAAAAAAACAAAAAAAACUGUUAUCAAACAAAUAAUAUAUAGCACAUAUGGAAACUGAAAAAUGCAUAAUAAACUCAAAUCUCUUAUAUAUAAUAAAAAGAUAUAGUAUAAUACUAAACAUCAAAAUAAUAACAUGAAAAAUAUAAAUUAUUCUAUUUUUUUAAUUAAUUUGUACACUUUUUGUAAAUUUUAUAUAUUUGUGUGUGUUCUGUAUAUUUUUUGUAGCCUUUAACUAUAUUUGUUGUUAUUUAUUUUUUAUUACUAUAUUCGGUAAUUAUUUUAGAUUUUAAAUGAUAUGUUUUACAUACAAAUAUUUAUCUCCUAUUAUAAUUUAAAUUUGUUUAUUUAUUAUAUUAAAUUUAAAUGCAUGUACAUUAUAUAUCUUUUUUAUUUAAUAUUUCCUACAUAGUUUGGUGAUGUAUUUCUUUUAGUAUUCAAUAAUUUUUUAAAAAUUUUACAAUUAUUCUUUUUGAAUGUAUCUUAUAAUUAUUUUUGUAAUAAUCUUAAUUUUCAUAUUUAUUAUAUUAUAUUAUAAAUAUAAAAUUUAUAUGUAAAAAUAUUUUAUUUAUGUCAAAUGUGUUAUGUAUAUGUUCCAAUUUUUUUAUACAUUGUUUAUGUUACGUAUUUCUUCCAGUCAUCUGGAGAUUUUCUGAAAGUUCUUUAAAUUUUUUGCUCUCAGUGUACAGUGUUAUUAUAUGUGUUCAUAAAUCUUAGUAUGUCGGUGAGUAUUCGGUAGUAUUCUUUUCGUUCUACAGAAUUAAAAAAAAAAGGUUAUGAUUUAACCGUACCAAUAAUACUUUGCUAGAUUUUAGGAAGGUCAAGUCUGUGUACCAUGUAAUCUAUGUACAUUAUAAAUCCUCUAGCAUCUAGAAGACUCAAUUAUGAAAAGAUAUAAAUUCUGAUGAUCUCAACAAGAAAACCUUUGAUGAUAUGAGAUUUUGUUAUCAAUAUUUAAAAUCAGGAUUUUCUCUCAGAGUUAUAUGAAGAUCAGAGUUUAUCAAAUGCUGAGUAUAUCAAAGUUUGCUGAUAGAGGAUAUUCUUCAGAGUUUGUCAAAACUGGUUUUCAAGAGUGAAUUAGUUCUAAAUAUUAAAGAUAUAUAGUUUAGAGAUUUAACAACUCAGGACUUUAGUAGGUUUAUACUCCAUCACUAAUUGAUAUAUGGGGUUUUUUCAUAAAUAUAUAGGAAAAAGUAAAUUUUUGCAAAUUUACUUUUCUCAAGAAUAGCUAUUUGCAGUUUUACUACACUAAGUUUCUAAAUUGCAAAAAUACUACCCCUCCCUUCUGCAACUGAAUGCAACCACAUGUUGAAGGUGGAGAUGGUGGAGGUGAAGGUGGAGAUGGAGGAAGGAUGAUUGUAGUGGAGGUCUGGGCGGCUUGAAGUAGGGGACUGGAGCAUUGCCCGAAUAGUAGCGGCACCGCCGCGUUUUGAAGUUGAGCCCAGGUGGAGAAAGAAGUAUGAACGAGGCUCAAGGAGGUUGAAGCAGCGACCAAGAUGGGGCUGGUGAAAAUGGAGGUGGAGAUUGUGUUGUUAGAGAAAUAAUGGAGGUGGAGAUGGAGAUGGUGGUUAUGGAGGGGGUGAGCGACAUAGAGGUAUGGUGGUGGUUAUGGAGGAGGCGACGACAGAGGUGGUGGUAGUGGCGGAUGCGGAGGUGGGUUUGGUGAAGAUGGAGGUGGAGAUGGAGUUCUUUAAAAAUUUAGUGGUAUUCGUUUUAAGAUUUAGUGAUAUUCUAACUUAGUUUUUAGUUUUUAGAAUAAGGAGGUUUUUAUUAGAAUAGAAUUCUAUAUAUAUAUAUAUAUGUGUGUGUGGGGGGGGGAUCAAUGGGUAACCUCUUAAUGUGUAUAACUUGACAUGAAGAGUUUUGUUACAUACAACUACUUAUCCCUUGUAACUGUUUUAACCAAAUACAUGUUAAAACACGUGGCCCACCUUAAAUGAUGAACACAAAAACUUACCUAACAAAUGCAUUAAUUCUGUAAUUUAUUGGAUACAUAACUGUGGAAAGAAAAAAAAAACAAAAAAAACUGUUAUCAAACAAAUAAUAUAUAGCACAUAUGGAAACUGAAAAAUGCAUAAUAAAC